ACGGGGGGGGUAAGCGUUGUUCGGAUUUACUGGGCGUAAAGGGCGCGUAGGCGGUCAGCACAAGUCAGUUGUGAAAUCUCCGGGCUUAACUCGGAAAGGUCAACUGAUACUGUGCGACUAGAGUGUGGAAGGGGCAACUGGAAUUCUCGGUGCAGCGGUGAAAUGCGUAGAUAUCGAGAGGAACGCCUGCGGCGAAGGCGGGUUGCUGGGCCGACACUGACGCUGACGCGCGAAAGCCAGGGGAGCGAACGGGA
rnacentral:rRNA from 1 species